AUUCUUGGUUUCUCUUCAGAUCGAAUAAUGCUUCACCUUUUGCUAAGAGUUUUCGUGAAGUGGACUUUUCAUGAGUUUUAAUAAAUUUUUGAGGCUCUGCCCAUGCAGGGC